GAAGUAGUUUAGCUCGUCUUGUAGGCUCGUGUCACUGGGCAGCUCUCGGCUGUGCUUCCCUUUGUAGUCUGUAAUGGUUUGCAAGCCCUGCCAUAUCCGACGAGCAUCAGAGCCGGUGUAGUACAAUUCGAUCUUAGUCCUGUAUUGACGCUUUGCCUGUUUGAAGGUUCGUCGGAGGGCAUAGCGGGAUUUCUUAUAAGCUUCUGGGUUAAGAGUCCCGCUCCUUUGAAAGUGUCAGCUCUAGCCUUUAGCUCAGUUUGGAUGUUGCCUGUAAUCCAUGGCUUAUGGUAUGUACGUACGGUCACUGUGGGGACAAUGUCAUUGAUGCACUUGUUGAUGAAGCCAAUGACAGAUGUGGUGUACUCCUCAAUGCCAUUGGAGGAAUCCCGAAACAUAUUCCAGUCUGCUAGCAAAACAGUCCUGUAGCUUAGCAUCUGCUUCUUCUGACCACUUUUUUUUAUUGAUCUAGUCACUGGUGCUUCCUGCUUUAAUGUUUACUUGUAAGCACGACAGAAUUUUGGUCAGAUUUGCAAAAUGGAGGGCGAGAGAGAGCUUUGUAUUUGGAGUAAAGGUGGUGCAGAAUUAUUUUCCCUCCGUUUGCAUAUUUAACAUGCUGAUUAGAAAUUUGGUAAAACUGAGAAGUUUCCCUACAAUAAAGUCCCAGGCUACUAGGAGCGCCGCCUCUGGGUGGGCGUUUUCUUGUUUGCUUAUGGCGGAAUACAGCUUAUUCAAUGCUGUCUUAGUGCCAGCCUCCGUCUGUGGUGGUAUGUAAACAGCUACGAAAAAUACAGAAACUCUCUAGGUAGAUAGUGUGGUCUACAGCUUAUCAUGAGAUACUCUACCUCAGGCGAGCAAUAGCUUGAGACCUCCUUAGAUAUUGUGCACCAGCUGUUAUUUACAAAAAUACAUAGUCCUUCGCCCCUUGUCUUACCAGACGCCGCCAUAUUACCAGCCAGCUGUAUGUUGAUAGUGUUAUCUUUCAGCCAUGACUCCGUGAAACAUAAGAUAUUACCGUUGGUAGAUUCAUCUUCCCGCUUAGGUCAUCUGUUUUAUUCUCCAAAGAUUGCACAUUUGCUAGCAGAAUGGAAGGAAGUGGAGGUUUAUUCGAUCGCCUAUGAAUUCUCAGAAGGCAGCCCGCCCUCUGGACCCUUUUUCUCCACCUCCUCUUCACCCAAAUCUCUGGGAUCUGGGCCUGUUCCCGAGAAAGCAGUAUAUCAUUUGCGUCAGACUCGUUAAAAGGAAAAAAAGGAUUCUGCCAGUCCGUGGUGAGUAAACCCAGUCCUGAAGUCCAAAAGUUAUUUUCAAUCAUAAGAGACAUAAGCGGAACACUAUGUACAAAAUAAGUUAAAAAAAUAAGUUGCAAAUAAACGAACAAAAAAACACCAUCAGUUGGGACGGCGCCAUUGUUACAGUAGUAUGAUACUGUAACGACCCUGGGUUUAUAAGCGCGGAUAUUGACUCUGCCGCUAGAGCAUGCUUUUGGGGCACAGUCGAUAGCGCGCUGGACUUCGGGCUAGAAGGUCAAGGGUUUGAGACCUGCUCCCUGCCUGUUUCAUUACAAUACUAUAUUUCCUCCAAUUCGAAUGAUGAUGUAUGACCACUAUUCCAUUUGUAACAUAUCAUACUAAAAGGAGGGGUACAAAUAAAACUUCCCAAAUCCUAUUGAUUUCCCUGAGACCAUGUUGGUAGAUUUUAAAGAAUCAAACGCGUAUGAGAAUCUUCACUAUAUUGCUCACACCUAUCAAACGUUUCAGAUCUACAGGAGUGCCAAGAUGAAAUGGAGAAUAUCUUUCACACACCUACCUUAGCCCUACGGAGAAGCCGGAUCACACUGAUGCCGGUUGAUGCCAGCUCUCGGCUAGGCAUGCUCUGGAGCAGUGGACCCACCAGGACAGCAGGUGUCAGUGUAGAGGUACUCCAGGAAGGAGAGGAAGGUGUCAGAGGAGACUCCGUGGAUGGGCACCACCCGACUCCGUGCCUCCGCGUACUUCCCGCUGAACAUGGCCGCCAUGACAUCGCAGCGAGCCACCAGGACCGCCCGGUGAGCUGGUAACACACUCCCUGAAACACAGUCUAUUUUUAAAUAUAAUCUGGGUGGUUCGAGCCCUGAAUGCUGAUUGGCUGACAACAGGGUAUAUCAGACCUAUAUACCAAAGGUAUGACCAAUUUAUUUUUAAUUACAUUGGUAACCAGUUUAUAAUAGUAAUAAGGCACCUUGGGGGUUUGUGGUAUAUGGCCAAUAUACCACAGUUAGAGGCUGUGUCCAGGCACUCUGCGAUGUGUCGUGCCAAGAACAGCCCUUAGCUGUGGUAUAUUGGCCAUACAAAAUAUAUAUAUUUCAUUACAUGGGUUAUUGUAGAUGAUUGCUUAUGAACCUGGAGCUUGGCAUCACCCUGCGAGAGAGUUUGUCAUAAAAACGAUAUACUGUUUCUGCAGCAAAGUCAUUUAUAAAAUUGUAUACAUAAUAUAACAUCUGUAAACAUAAUAUUAUGGUGUCUGUAGUAUUACUAAGCUCUUAUAAACAAAACAGAAGAAUUGUACAAAAUCUGUCAUGAAUGUCUAAAGCACUGCGACUAUUGUAUAUCAAGUGUACGUCUUACAAGGCACCCUAAAUAUGUUGAUGGCAUUUUUUCUCUGGUGCAAUAAUGAAAUGGACCGACUACCUGAGGGCCCUCAGUGAAGAAAUCAGUUAAUCAUGUGUAAUAGAAAAAAGUUUACUUUGUGUGUGUGUGUGUACUUGCCUUGCACCAUGAAGAUGACAUCAGAGUAGAGAGGAGAGUUGAAGAGGUUGACCAGAGACUGAGGACCAAGCUGGGCGGGCCGAGCGUUAGGCGUAUCCCUGGAGCCCUACACACACACACACACACACAGCGUGGGUUAUGUCUGAGGAUUCCACCACUGUUGGUAUUUACUACCAUGAGUGCCAUUCAUUCUGAGCUUCCAUCUCCACCACCCACCCGUGGCAUAGAAAUAGCCUGUCUACACGCCUGCCUCAGCAGUGGCCAACUCCACUGUCCCUGCCCUCCCUGCCAAGACCGCCUCAAUGGAGCUGGCUAAUGCUGAAACAGACUGGCAGGCAGGCUCGCUUCCAGAGCAGUCUGCAUAUCAAACCCAUUGGCUUCAUUGUGCUGCAGUGAUAUAACAUCGCUCGCAUUGUGCCAGAGCCUGCUGGUUUAGAGUACACAAAUCAUUGACUUUCAACUGCUUAGUCAAUCCUGUAGAUGGAUUGGAACCAAGCGUAUGACUUGUAUUGAGAAAUGAUACAUGUAAAUGAUGAGUGCAAAAGUGGCACUUCACUUCUGAUGGAAUUGAAAUAGAAGGAACUCAAGCCUGGUCACCAGAUCGAAUUAUGAACCUGCAUGUCACAUGUCUCCUGAUGUUAAGGCGGCCCACAUCCCAUUCCCUUUGCUCAAUCUGAGAGUAAACAUUAUCCCAAUUCAAUCAAUUAGUGCACUGCUAGUACACUGCUUUUGAUCAGAA